AGGCGCCGUGGCUUAGUAGGCAAAGCGCCUGUCUAGUAAACAGGAGAUCGUGAGUUCGAUUCUCGCCGGGCCUG